CUCUGAUUGCUAUGCCUAGGACUUCCAAAACUAUGUUGAUUAAAGUGGUGAGAGUGGGCAUCCUUGUCAUGUUCCUGAUCUUACAGGAAAUGCUUUCAGGUUUUCCCACUGAGUAUGAUGUUAGAUGGUGGAG